rnacentral:rRNA from 1 species
AUUGAACGCUGGCGGCAUGCUUUACACAUGCAAGUCGAACGGCAGCACGGGUGCUUGCACCUGGUGGCGAGUGGCGAACGGGUGAGUAAUGCAUCGGAACGUGCCCAUGAGUGGGGGAUAGCCCGGCGAAAGCCGGAUUAAUACCGCAUACGCCCUUAGGGGGAAAGCGGGGGAUCUUCGGACCUCGCGCUAUUGGAGCGGCCGAUGUCGGAUUAGCUAGUAGGUGAGGUAAAGGCUCACCUAGGCGACGAUCCGUAGCUGGUCUGAGAGGAUGAUCAGCCACACUGGGACUGAGACACGGCCCAGACUCCUACGGGAGGCAGCAGUGGGGAAUUUUGGACAAUGGGCGCAAGCCUGAUCCAGCCAUGCCGCGUGAGUGAAGAAGGCCUGGUUGUAA